UAUUGAAAAUAAAUUCAAAUAAAUAAAAAAUUAAAAUCUAAACUAGUAAAUCAAACUAAAUAAUGCACACCUUAUACUUUUUUACUCUCGUCCGGAUUCAUUUGAUUAUGGAUCCAAAUAUUUUUUAUUAAUUAUAUUUUAGAUUAAGAAGCCAAAUUCCUUCAAAAUUUUAAUAUGGUUCGAUUCGGAGUGUCUAUUGCCCCCAACUUUAGGAUUUGCUCAAUUUUCUCUUCACAUUGG
rnacentral:misc_RNA from 1 species